rnacentral:lncRNA from 1 species
GGAAAGCGGGCGACGGUUGCGCGGGCAGCCGCUGCUACUGUGGGAAAAGUGCGGACGCCACUCUGGGACGGCCCUGUGGGCCACACCAAAGCCCGCGAGCCCGGGAAACGGCAGGUCUCGCCUCACGCCCGACUCCCCGUGGGUUGAGGGACUCCCUGCCCUUGUCCCGCCCAGGUUACACUUCCUUCUCUGAGAGCUUGGAUGGUGCUCUUAGCCGCCACCUCUAUCACUGCCCGCCUGUCAUCAUGCCUGCUGGGCGGGUUUUCUGGCUUUGGCACCCAGUCAGCCUGCAAGUACGGAGUCGCCUCAGCUUGCCAACAGGGAAGUCAGAGGACUCUGCCUACUGUUGGUUACUUCACAGCACCUCCACUUUCAAAGAACAUCUUCCUGAGAAUAAACAUGAAGAGUACUGUGACUGUAAAACAUCAUAUUGACAGAGAAUUCAAAGGGUGGGUUAUUUACAGAGAUGUCUCUAUCCAUUCUAUACUGAUGUUUUUCUAGUUUACUAUGGAGAUGAUUGCUUUCUAACUUUUUUCUCUGCAUUCUGAAACUAUCCAGCCUCUUUGAUCCUUACAGCCUAUUCUAUAAAGGUAUCCAUUUCAACUGAAGAUCAAGAACUAGG